rnacentral:rRNA from 1 species
AUUGAACGCUGGCGGCAUGCCUUACACAUGCAAGUCGAACGGCAGCACGGGAGCAAUCCUGGUGGCGAGUGGCGAACGGGUGAGUAAUAUAUCGGAACGUGCCCAGUCGUGGGGGAUAACGUAGCGAAAGCUACGCUAAUACCGCAUACGAUCUAUGGAUGAAAGCGGGGGAUCGCAAGACCUCGCGCGAUUGGAGCGGCCGAUAUCAGAUUAGGUAGUUGGUGGGGUAAAGGCUCACCAAGCCGACGAGCUGUAGCUGGUCUGAGAGGACGAACAGCCACACGGGGAAUGAGACACGGCCCAGAGUCCUACGGGAGGCAGCAGGGGGGAAUUUUGGACAAUGGGCGCAAGCCUGAUCCAGCAAUGCCGCGUGCAGGAAGAAGGCCUUCGGGUUGUAAACUGCUUUUGUACGGAGCGAAAAGGCUCCCUCUAAUACAGGGGGCUCAUGACGGUACCGUAAGAAUAAGCACCGGCUAACUACGUGCCAGCCGCCGCGGUAAAAC